rnacentral:rRNA from 1 species
CCAAACUGUUGCCUCGGCGGGAUCUCUGCCCCGGGUGCGUCGCAGCCCCGGACCAAGGCGCCCGCCGGAGGACCAACCAAAACUCUUAUUGUAUACCCCCUCGCGGGUUUUUUUAUAAUCUGAGCCUUCUCGGCGCCUCUCGUAGGCGUUUCGAAAAUGAAUCAAAACUUUCAACAACGGAUCUCUUGGUUCUGGCAUCGAUGAAGAACGCAGCGAAAUGCGAUAAGUAAUGUGAAUUGCAGAAUUCAGUGAAUCAUCGAAUCUUUGAACGCACAUUGCGCCCGCCAGUAUUCUGGCGGGCAUGCCUGUCCGAGCGUCAUUUCAACCCUCGAACCCCUCCGGGGGGUCGGCGUUGGGGAUCGGCCCUCCCUUAGCGGGUGGCCGUCUCCGAAAUACAGUGGCGGUCUCGCCGCAGCCUCUCCUGCGCAGUAGUUUGCACACUCGCAUCGGGAGCGCGGCGCGUCCACAGCCGUUAAACACCCAACUUCUGAAAUGUUGACCUCGGAUCAGGUAGGAAUACCCGCUGAACUUAAGCAUAUCAAUAAGCCGGAGGAA